rnacentral:rRNA from 1 species
AACUCAAAUGAAUUGACGGGGGCCCGCACAAGCGGAGGAACAUGUGGUUUAAUUCGAUGAUACGCGAGGAACCUUACCUGGGCUUAAAUGUAGGUUUGCAUAACUUAGAAAUAGGUUUUCCCUUCGGGGCUACUUACAAGGUGCUGCAUGGUUGUCGUCAGCUCGUGCCGUGAGGUGUCGGGUUAAGUCCCAUAACGAGCGCAACCCCUAUCGUUAGUUGCCAGCGGGUCAAGCCGGGGACUCUAGCGAGACUGCCACCGUAAGGUGAGAGGAAGGCGGGGAUGACGUCAAAUCAGCACGGCCCUUAUGUCCAGGGCUACACACGUGUUACAAUGGCCGAUACAAAGGGCAGCUACCGGGCGACCGGAUGCUAAUCUCAAAAGUCGGUCCCAGUUCGGAUUGGAGUCUGCAACCCGACUCCAUGAAGUUGGAUUCGCUAGUAAUCGCGCAUCAGCCAUGGCGCGGUGAAUACGUUCCCGGGCCUU